CGCAAGGACAUGUGGAGCGCUUAGAAGUGAGAAUGCCGGUGUGAGUAGCGAAAGACGGGUGAGAAUCCCGUCCACCGAUUGACUAAGGUUUCCAGAGGAAGGCUCGUCCGCUCUGGGUUAGUCGGGUCCUAAGCUGAGGCCGACAGGCGUAGGCGAUGGAUAACAGGUUGAUAUUCCUGUACCACCUAUAAUCGUUUUAAUCGAUGGGGGGACGCAGUAGGAUAGGCGAAGCGUGCGAUUGGAUUGCACGUCUAAGCAGUAAGGCUGAGUAUUAGGCAAAUCCGGUACUCGUUAAGGCUGAGCUGUGAUGGGGAGAAGACAUUGUGUCUUCGAGUCGUUGAUUUCACACUGCCGAGAAAAGCCUCUAGAUAGAAAAUAGGUGCCCGUACCGCAAACCGACACAGGUAGUCAAGAUGAGAAUUCUAAGGUGAGCGAGCGAACUCUCGUUAAGGAACUCGGCAAAAUGACCCCGUAACUUCGGGAGAAGGGGUGCUCUUUAGGGUUAACGCCCAGAAGAGCCGCAGUGAAUAGGCCCAAGCGACUGUUUAUCAAAAACACAGGUCUCUGCUAAACCGUAAGGUGAUGUAUAGGGGCUGACGCCUGCCCGGUGCUGGAAGGUUAAGAGGAGUGGUUAGCUUCUGCGAAGCUACGAAUCGAAGCCCCAGUAAACGGCGGCCGUAACUAUAACGGUCCUAAGGUAGCGAAAUUCCUUGUCGGGUAAGUUCCGACCCGCACGAAAGGCGUAACGAUUUGGGCACUGUCUCAACGAGAGACUCGGUGAAAUCAUAGUACCUGUGAAGAUGCAGGUUACCCGCGACAGGACGGAAAGACCCCGUGGAGCUUUACUGUAGCCUGAUAUUGAAAUUCGGCACAGCUUGUACAGGAUAGGUA
rnacentral:rRNA from 1 species